AGGAAAAGACUCAGACAGGAUAUUC
rnacentral:piRNA from 1 species